UGACAGAUCCUCUUAAAUUUUAAAGCCA
rnacentral:piRNA from 1 species